AGAGUUUGAUCCUGGACGUCAGGAUAAAACGCUGGCGGCGCACAUAAGACAUGCAAGUCGAAGGACUUAACCAUUAGUUUACUAUUGGAGCGGUUAGUGGCGGACUGGUGAGUAACACGUAAAGCAACCUGCCUAUCAGAGGGGAACAACAGUUAGAAAUGACUGCUAAUACCGCAUAUGCCUUAGUAUCGCAUGAUACAAAAGGGAAAGGAGCAAUCCGCUGAUAGAUGGGCUUGCGUCUGAUUAGCUAGUUGGUGGGGUAAAGGCCUACCAAGGCGACGAUCAGUAGCCGGACUGAGAGGUUGAACGGCCACAUUGGGACUGAGAUACGGCCCAGACUCCUACGGGAGGCAGCAGUCGGGAAUAUUGCGCAAUGGAGGAAACUCUGACGCAGUGACGCCGCGUGCAGGAAGAAGGUUUUCGGAUUGUAAACUGCUUUAGACAGGGAAGAAACAAGACAGUACCCGUAGAAUAAGCUCCGGCUAACUACGUG
rnacentral:rRNA from 1 species